rnacentral:rRNA from 3 species
CCUGGCGGCGAUAGCGCGGUGGUCCCACCUGACCCCAUGCCGAACUCAGAAGUGAAACGCCGUAGCGCCGAUGGUAGUGUGGGGUCUCCCCAUGCGAGAGUAGGGAACUGCCAGGU